rnacentral:rRNA from 1 species
GACAGAGGCCCCGAGCGUUAGGCGGAAUCACUGGGCUUAAAGCGUGUGUAGGCGGACGCUAAGUGUCUUGUGAAAUCCCACGGCUCACCCGUGGAACCGCUGGGCAUACUGGGCGUCUUGGGCCGUUCAGGGGCGACUGGAACAAGCGGUGGAGCGGUGAAAUGCGUAGAUAUUCGCAAGAACACCAGUGGCGAAGGCGGCUUACUGGUCCGGAUCUGACGCUGAGGCGCGAAAGCGUGGGGAGCAAACAGG